GAUGAACGCUGGCGGCGUGCUUAACACAUGCAAGUCGAACGGAAAGGCCCAAGCUUGCUUGGGUACUCGAGUGGCGAACGGGUGAGUAACACGUGGGUGAUCUGCCCUGCACUUCGGGAUAAGCCUGGGAAACUGGGUCUAAUACCGGAUAGGACCACAUUUUGGAUGGUGUGGUGGAAAGUUUUUCGGUGUGGGAUGAGCUCGCGGCCUAUCAGCUUGUUGGUGGGGUAAUGGCCUACCAAGGCGUCGACGGGUAGCCGGCCUGAGAGGGUGUACGGCCACAUUGGGACCGAGGUGAGGCCCAGGCGCCGACGGGAGGCAGCAGGGGGGAAUAUUGCACAAUGGGCGCAAGCCUGAUGCAGCGACGCCGCGUGGGGGAUGACGGCCUUCGGGUUGUGAACUCCUUUCGCGAGGGACGAAGCGUUAUGUGACGGUACCUGGAGAAGAAGCACCGGCUAACUACGUG
rnacentral:rRNA from 1 species